rnacentral:rRNA from 1 species
CGGGGGGGGGGCAAGCGUUGUUCGGGAAUUACUGGGGCGUAAAGGGCGCGCAGGCGGCCCGGCCAGUCCUACGUGAAAUCCCACAGCUCAACUGUGGAACUGCGUGGGGAUACUGCCAGGCUUGAGUCCCGGGAGAGGAGAGUGGAAUUCCCAGUGUAGCGGUGAAAUGCGUAGAUAUUGGGAGGAACACCGGUGGCGAAGGCGGCUCUCUGGACCGGCACUGACGCUGAGGCGCGAAAGCUAGGGGAGCAAACGGGAUUAGAUACCCCGGUAGUCCUAGCCCUAAACGAUGAGCACUUUGUGUGGCGGGUAUCGACCCCUGCCGUGCUGAAGCUAACGCAUUAAGUGCUCCGCCUGGGGAGUACGGUCGCAAAGGCUG